rnacentral:rRNA from 1 species
GACGAACGCUGGCGGCGUGCUUAACACAUGCAAGUCGAACGGAAAGGCCCUGCUUUUGUGGGGUGCUCGAGUGGCGAACGGGUGAGUAACACGUGAGUAACCUGCCCUUGACUUUGGGAUAACUUCAGGAAACUGGGGCUAAUACCGUAUAGGAGCUCCUGCUGCAUGGUGGGGGGUGGAAAGUUUCGGCGGUUGGGGAUGGACUCGCGGCUUAUCAGCUUGUUGGUGGGGUAGUGGCUUACCAAGGCUUUGACGGGUAGCCGGCCUGAGAGGGUGACCGGCCACAUUGGGACUGAGAUACGGCCCAGACUCCUACGGGAGGCAGCAGUGGGGAAUAUUGCACAAUGGGCGGAAGCCUGAUGCAGCAACGCCGCGUGCGGGAUGACGGCCUUCGGGUUGUAAACCGCUUUCGCCUGUGACGAAGCGUGAGUGACGGUAAUGGGUAAAGAAGCACCGGCUAACUACGUG